AAUUUCACAACUAACCCAAACACAGAUCCAAUUACAGUCUAAAUACAAUUUAUCCAACAUAAUUCUUCAGCAUCAACAAUCCCAAUUAGGGUCAGAUUAACGGCUUAUCACUACCCAUCACAUAUUAUCCCAUAAUACCCAUUAAUCGACGAUAAACCCCCCUUACCUGAGUUAAUUCGGCGAAUCUUUGAGCUCCAAGCUUUUCUCUCUUCAACCUUCAGCCCU
rnacentral:lncRNA from 1 species